UGGGGAAUAUUGCACAAUGGGCGCAAGCCUGAUGCAGCAACGCCGCGUGAACGAUGAAGGUCUUCGGAUCGUAAAGUUCUGUUGCAGGGGGAGAUAAUGACGGUACCCUGUGAGGAAGCCCCGGCUAACUACGUGCCAGCAGCCGCGGUAAUACGUAGGGGGCUAGCGUUAUCCGGAUUUACUGGGCGUAAAGGGUGCGUAGGUGGUCUUUCAAGUCGGUGGUUAAAGGCUACGGCUCAACCGUAGUUAGCCUCCGAAACUGGAAGACUUGAGUGCAGGAGAGGAAAGUGGAAUUCCCAGUGUAGCGGUGAAAUGCGUAGAUAUUGGGAGGAACACCAGUAGCGAAGGCGGCUUUCUGGACUGCAACUGACACUGAGGCACGAAAGCGUGGGUAGCAAACAGG
rnacentral:rRNA from 1 species